AUGUACAAUUGCAAUUCUUACAACUAGACGUUUAAUUGCAAUGAAAGUGCUGCCUCUCUUUAGUUAGUUUCAACUUUUAGAUUGUAGCCGUUCUUGAUUGGGGGGAAAAUAAUCAAUCUGAUCAGGAAGUAAAACUUGAAAAGUCAUUGUGGACAGUUAACUGUAUGUACUCAGUUACUGGUUGGUUGUAACAGAAGGCUAUUACAUUACAUUAUUUCUCAGUGAGAGAAGAACUUCUAGCUGUUGUUAAACCCAUCCAUUACAUUCUCAGCAAGAAAAACGUAAGACGGUUUUGGCGGACAAAUUUCGCCAUAAAGAUGACAACUAGCAGAACAAAUUAAUGAUGGUAGAUGACAGGGACGUAGAAAAUCUCCAGUAAUUAGAAAGUCUACACUUUACAGGUGGGGUUGAAAAAGACGUACUUCUACAGAAAAAGAAGAAGAAAAACUGUCAUUUAACAACAAUGUCAUGGCAGACCUAUUUAUUUUGUUCUUUUUACUGUUUUCAAAUGUCUAAACAUGAAUUGAGAAUUUAUAGGAACAUAGUUUGUUAUGGAAACAAUAUUACUUCAUGUAGUCAUUCCAUCUGAAUGUUUAAUGUUUAGAGAGAAACUCUACACUAAGGAAAAUAAACAUUAAACAUGUUCACUAUA